rnacentral:lncRNA from 1 species
GGGAAGAGGGACUCAUGUUUGAGAAAGCUUCUGCAUCAGUUCAGGCUUCCAGGCUCCUGCCUUGAGUUCCUGCCACGACUUGGAUGAUGGACAAUACGCUGUAAAAUAAAAGAAACCCUUUCCUCCCCUAGUUGCUCUGUGGUCAUGGUGUUUCACCAAGCAAGAGAAACCUAACUAGAUCAUGUCUCUGCUUCAUUUGUCCAAACCUGCAUCAAGCCAAGGCCCUGGAGGGAACAAAUGACAAUCCUGAGGGGUUUCCCAGAAGGCUUAAUCAAAGGAGGCACAGGUUGGGGAAAUCCACAAGAGGCAGUGAAACCUCCAAAGGCUCACAGUGGCAGGGAGCCUCUAACACUCCAGGCCUGAAGGGGCAGAGGGAGGCGGAGCUUUGUGGAGUAAGAGAUGACCUCGGAAGAAGGCUGCAGGUGGAGCCAGGGCCUUUGGAGAGAAGCUGGGUGAGCCAGGGGACUCAAGGGGCUUCAACUGCCCCCCCCCCCAAGACUGUCAUCCUUCUCAGAACACCACCAGGUGACCAGGAGGACGCAGGAACCUUUCAGGACUCUGUUGAGCAGCUGUGGAUAUGCACGUGGCUGAGAAGACAUGAGGACUGGACCUCUGCCUCCACCCUUCAGAAGGCAUGGCACCCGCUGUGGAAAAAGACUGCCUGAGCACAUUGCCCAACGCCUUCCGGUUCCCACUGAG